CACGUAGGGCGCAAGCGUUGUCCGGAAUUAUUGGGCGUAAAGAGCUCGUAGGCGGACUGUCACGUCUGCUGUGAAAAGCUGGGGCUUAACCCUGGCCUUGCAGUGGAUACGGGCAGACUAGAGGUAGGUAGGGGAGAAUGGAAUUCCCGGUGUAGCGGUGAAAUGCGCAGAUAUCGGGAGGAACACCGGUGGCGAAGGCGACUUCCUGGCCUGUUCUUGACGCUGAGGCGCGAAAGCUAGGGGAGCAAACGGG
rnacentral:rRNA from 1 species